rnacentral:rRNA from 1 species
CCUUAGUAACGGCGAGUGAAGCGGCAACAGCUCAAAUUUGAAAGCUGGCCCUUUUAGGGUCCGCGUUGUAAUUUGUAGAGGAUGAUUCGGCGAGGGCUCCUGCCUAAGUCCCCUGGAACGGGGCGUCAUAGAGGGUGAGAAUCCCGUAUGCGGUAGGUUGCCUUAGCCAUGUGAAUCUCCUUCGACGAGUCGAGUUUUUUGGGAAUGAAGCUCUAAAUGGGAGGUAAAUUUCUUCUAAAGCUAAAUAUUGGCCAGAGACCGAUAGCGCACAAGUAGAGUGAUCGAAAGAUGAAAAGCACUUUGGAAAGAGAGUUAAAAAGUACGUGAAAUUGUUGAAAGGGAAGCGCUUGCAACCAGACUUGUCCGCAGUUGCUCAGCCGGUCUCCUGACCGGCGUACUCUUCUGCGGCCAGGCCAGCAUCAGUUCGGGCGGUCGGAUAAAGGCCUCGGGAAUGUAGCUCCUCUCGGGGAGUGUUAUAGCCCGGGGCGGAAUGCGGCCAGCCUGGACUGAGGAUCUCGCUUCGGCAAGGAUGCUGGCGUAAUGGUUGUAAGCGGCCCGUCUUGAAACACGGACCAAGGAGUCUAACAUCUAUGCGAGUGUUCGGGUGUCAAACCCGUACGCGUAAUGAAAGUGAACGGAGGUGGGAACCCGCAAGGGUGCACCAUCGGCCGAUCCUGAUGUCUUCGGAUGGAUUUGAGCAAGAGCAUAGCUGUUGGGACCCGAAAGAUGGUGAACUAUGCCUGAAUAGGGUGAAGCCAGAGGAAACUCUGGUGGAGGCUCGCAGCGGUUCUGACGUGCAAAUCGAUCGUCAAAUUUGGGUAUAGGGGCGAAAGACUAAUCGAACCAUCUAGUAGCUGGUUCCUGCCGAA